UCGUAACAAGGUUUCCGUAGGUGAACCUGCGGAAGGAUCAUUAGUGAAUAUAGGACGUCCAACUUAACUUGGAGUCCGAACUCUCACUUUCUAACCCUGUGCACUUGUUUGGGAUAGUAACUCUCGCAAGAGAGCGAACUCCUAUUCACUUAUAAACACAAAGUCUAUGAAUGUAUUAAAUUUUAUAACAAAAUAAAACUUUCAACAACGGAUCUCUUGGCUCUCGCAUCGAUGAAGAACGCAGCGAAAUGCGAUAAGUAAUGUGAAUUGCAGAAUUCAGUGAAUCAUCGAAUCUUUGAACGCACCUUGCGCUCCAUGGUAUUCCGUGGAGCAUGCCUGUUUGAGUGUCAUGAAUACUUCAACCCUCCUCUUUCUUAAUGAUUGAAGAGGUGUUUGGUUUCUGAGCGCUGCUGGCCUUUACGGUCUAGCUCGUUCGUAAUGCAUUAGCAUCCGCAAUCGAACUUCGGAUUGACUUGGCGUAAUAGACUAUUCGCUGAGGAAUUCUAGUCUUCGGACUAGAGCCGGGUUGGGUUAAAGGAAGCUUCUAAUCAGAAUGUCUACAUUUUAAGAUUAGAUCUCAAAUCAGGUAGGACUACCCGCUGAACUUAAGCAUAUC
rnacentral:misc_RNA from 1 species